rnacentral:rRNA from 1 species
GACGAGGGGUGCAAACGUUAUUCGGAAUGAUUGGGCGUAAAGGGUGCGCAGGCGGCACGCUAAGUCAACUGUUAAAUUCCCCAGCCUAACUGGGGGCCUGCAGUAGAAACUGGUGUGCUAGAGGAUGGAAGAGAGAAGUGGAAUUCUCGGAGUAGCGGUAAAAUGCGUAGAUCUCGAGAGGAACACCGAUGGCGUAGGCAGCUUCUUGGUCCAUUUCUGACGCUCAUGCACGAAAGCGUGGGGAGCAAACAGG